CGGUUGGGCUGUAUGAUGGCGA
rnacentral:miRNA from 1 species